GCCGGCGUAGCUCAGUUGGUAGAGCAGCUGAUUCGUAAUCAGCAGGUCUGGGGUUCAAGUCCCCACGCCGGCUCCA
rnacentral:tRNA from 1 species